CUGCAGCCCGAGUGGUGGUCGAUAUUAUUGAGCCUAAAGCGUCCGUAGCCGGACUAGUAAACCCUUGGGUAAAUUGGGCAGCUUAACUGUCCGAAUUCCGAGGGGACUGCUAGUCUUGGGACCGGGAGAGGUCAGAGGUACUCCAGGGGUAGGGGCUAAAUCCUGUAAUCCUUUGGGGACCACCAGUGGCGAAGGCGUCUGACUAGAACGGAUCCGACGGUAAGGGACGAAACCCUGGGGCGCGAACCGGAUUAGAUACCCCUGUAGUCC
rnacentral:rRNA from 1 species